rnacentral:rRNA from 1 species
GACGAACGCUGGCGGCGUGCUUAACACAUGCAAGUCGAACGGUAACGGGCCUUCGGGUGCCGACGAGUGGCGAACGGGUGAGUAAUGCAUCGGAACGUACCUUUCAGUGGGGGGAUAACGUAGCGAAAGUUACGCUAAUACCGCAUAUUCUGUGAGCAGGAAAGCAGGGGAUCGCAAGACCUUGCGCUGAUUGAGCGGCCGAUGUCAGAUUAGCUAGUUGGUGAGGUAAAGGCUCACCAAGGCGACGAUCUGUAGCGGGUCUGAGGGGAUGAUCCGCCACACUGGAACUGAGACACGGUCCAGACUCCUACGGGAGGCAGCAGUGGGGAAUUUUGGACAAUGGGGGGCAACCCUGAUCCAGCCAUGCCGCGUGAGUGAAGAAGGCCUUCGGGUUGUAAACCUCUUUCUGGGUAGAAGAGACAAGGACGGUAUCCCAGGAAUAAGUCUCGGCUAACUACGUGCCAGCAGCCGCGGUAAU